rnacentral:rRNA from 1 species
AGAGUUUGAUCCUGGCUCAGAUUGAACGCUGGCGGCAUGGCUAAGACAUGCAAGUCGAACGCGAAAGGGGCUUCGGCCCCGAGUAGAGUGGCGAAAGGGCGAGGAAUACGUUUCUAUGUGCCCCGAGGUCGAGGAUAGCCCAGGGAAACUUGGUUUAAUACUCGAUGUGGUCUACGGAUCAAAGGUUUACUGCCUCGGGAGCGGGGAACGUCCUAUCAGGUUGUUGGUGAGGUAAAGGCUCACCAAGCCUUAGACGGGUAGCGGGUGUGAGAGCAUGACCCGCCGCAUCGGGACUGAGACACUGCCCGGACUCCUACGGGAGGCUGCAGUAACGAAUAUUCCGCAAUGCGCGAAAGCGUGACGGAGCAAUGCCGCGUGCAGGAUGAAUCCCCUCGGGGUGUAAACUGCUGUCAGGGUUUAGGAAGAUCUGACCAAACCCAAAGGAAGGGCCGGCUAACUUCGUGCCAGCAGCCGCGGUAAUACGAAGGGCCCGAGCGUUAUUCGGAAUCACUGGGCUUAAAGCGUACGCAGGCGGACACGCAGGCAUCUUGUGAAAUCCCACCGCUCAACGGUGGAACUGCAGGGUGAACCGCGUGCCUUGAGACAGGUAGGGGCCAUCGGAACGAUAGGUGGAGUGGUGAAAUGCGUUGAUAUCUAUCGGAACGCCGAAGGAGAAAUCAGAUGGCUGGGCCUGUUCUGACGCUGAGGUACGAAAGCGUGGGGAGCGAACGGGAUUAGAUACCCCGGUAGUCCACGCCGUANACGAUGUGCACUAGGUCGAGGGAGUUCUGACACUGCUCUCGGCCGAAGCAAAAGUGUUAAGUGCACCGCCUGGGGGAGUACGGUCGCAAGGC